GCAGUAGCCGCGGUAAUACGUAGGGUGCAAGCGUUAAUCGGAAUUACUGGGCGUAAAGCGUGCGCAGGCGGUUAUAUAAGACAGAUGUGAAAUCCCCGGGCUCAACCUGGGAACUGCAUUUGUGACUGUAUAGCUAGAGUACGGCAGAGGGGGAUGGAAUUCCGCGUGUAGCAGUGAAAUGCGUAGAUAUGCGGAGGAACACCGAUGGCGAAGGCAAUCCCCUGGGCCUGUACUGACGCUCAUGCACGAAAGCGUGGGGAGCAAACAGGAUUAGAUACCCCUGUAGUCCCUGUCUCUUAUAC
rnacentral:rRNA from 1 species